AGGGCAACAGAAUUCCACAAGAGCCGCCCUACCCCCUAUCCCCAAUCAGAUGUGUGCCAGGCUAGAAACCCUCUUGCUUGUUUGCUUACUUCUAUAAACGCUUGCUUGAAACUGGGCUCUGGGCUUUCCCCUCUCGUCCUGCUGCAUCAGGAUCAGUGUGAACCCAAGCUUGAUCUCGAAUAAAAAGACCCUUGUGCGACGGCAUCGACGGCAUCCGGGGCAGCUCCUUGGUGAUCUAUUAGGGUUCGUGAACGGGCACAGCAGACUGAUUCUCAGCACUCAGGCGAGCUGUGCGCUGUUUGCCUCUUCACCGUUGUGCUAGAAGCACCAAGCAGUUAGGAGUUACAGAUGGAUAGGCUGAACACGAGACAGGAUAAGCUCUAAGAGAGCAAGGGAAACCGGAAGUGCAUAGUGAAUCAUCCGGUGACAACUGCUCUUAGAAAGCCAGGAGAUCUGAGGAGUGAACAAAAUAUGAAAAUGUGCUCAACAAUUUGAUCACUAGUCUUACGUGUUAAAAGACAGUCCACAUUUCAAGAGUGCCCAAAGCUAACUCUUCAAAGCCAGUUCCUUUCUUCGUCAAGUAAACAGCUUAUCCAUUGUGACCUGGACAUAAGAAAACAUUGAUGUUUCCUCUAAUCACUGUGAAUGUAACGUGUUUCCCCGUGAGUUCUCUCUGUGCCAACUGCUGCAGGAAACUUCGAGGAAGCCUUCGGGGGAAAUGACUCUGAAUGUUUCUAAGACUGACACAGGAGCACACUCCUACUAAGCACUCACGGCUUAGAGUGAGCCAACUCACUUCGCAAGUGCAUACCACUGAGAACAGUAUACAAACUGAAUUCCUAGAGAAGUCUGUUUGGCUGUUUGAGUCUUAGUUGAGGCUGACAUUGCGAUUUCCUUAAGUAACGAACAAGCAGUUCAUAUGAGGCUUUCACCAAAUGUGAAACUUCCUGACCGAGUUCUUAAUUUCUGAACACAAAGAAUGAAAAGCCAGGGUCGGCAGCUCACAAAGCCAUCAGGCAGAGCUAAGUUCUGCAGCGG